UUAUAAUAGUACAAUGAAUUCGGAUUUACUUUACUAAUACAAAGAAGCAAAACUCGCUCUAAUCAAACACAAUGACUUUUCAAAAAUGCACAAGUGCAAGUGACAACUAUAAAUACAAGCCUGUAGCAGUGAGCACCAAUACAAGUGUUGCCACCAUCAACUGUCUUUGUAGCCUGAGCAUCAUACAAAUGGCCCACAAGCAAACUGGAAAAGUUCAUCAAGCAGCUGGGAUAGAGAUGGCAAGACGAACUCUGUAGCAAAUUCCAACGAUGCUAGAGCCAAUGUAAAGUGAUCCUGGCAUAGCCAGUGCCAAUAAGAUGUAUCUUAUCCCAUCAGAAUCUGUGAAGCCUCAUUCCAUAUUGACCUUGGGAUUGCAGCUUUCCUGCAAACAAAGAAUUUCAUAAGAUCAGUAACGGAACAAAUCAAUGGCGUACAUAAAAUUUUAUGUUGUUGUGCUGAAUCAUGCAUGUGUACAAGGGAGAAAACUAACUAACCGAUGAUUUGGCAAACCACUUGUAUUAGUUGUUGUUUAUCUACUAUUACCACUAUCAAUGUUAUGAACAAAUAUUUGUAUUGUUAUGACAACUGCACUGAGUGUGUUGUUAUUGUUGUAUUUAUAUGCAGACUGUUUCUUCUUUU